CCUACGGGAGGCUGCAGUGAGGAAUAUUGGUCAAUGGGCGCGAGCCUGAACCAGCCAAGUCGCGUGAGGGAAGACGGUCCUAUGGAUUGUAAACCUCUUUUGUCGGGGAGCAAAAGACGCCACGCGUGGCGUUCCGAGAGUACCCGAAGAAAAAGCAUCGGCUAACUCCGUGCCAGCAGCCGCGGUAAUACGGAGGAUGCGAGCGUUAUCCGGAGUUAUUGGGUUUAAAGGGUGCGCAGGCGGAAGAUCAAGUCAGCGGUAAAAUUGAGGGGCUCAACCUCUUCGAGCCGUUGAAACUGGUUUUCUUGGGUGAGUGAGAGGUAGGCGGAAUGCGUGGUGUAGCGGUGAAAUGCAUAG
rnacentral:rRNA from 1 species